rnacentral:tRNA from 1 species
UCCCUGGUAGCUCAAUCGGUAAAGAAUCUGCCUACAGUUCAGGAGACCUGGGUUCAAUCCCUGGUUUGGGAA